rnacentral:tRNA from 1 species
GGUAUAAUGGCCGAGCGGCCAGGCGGCGGGCUGUAGACUCGCUUAGGGGGUUAAACUCCUCUUUUAUCA